CUUGGUCAUUUAGAGGAAGUAAAAGUCGUAACAAGGUUUCCGUAGGUGAACCUGCGGAAGGAUCAUUAAUGAAUAUCGGAUUGUGCUGGCUUUGCAAGUGCACGUCCAUUCAUCCAAACCCCUGUGAACUUUUGACCUGAAGCCUUCGGGCAGAUGGUAUUACAAACUCUUAUUAUGUAUGUGACUUGUUUAAGGCAUUAGCCUAAUACUAUAACAACUUUCAACAACGGAUCUCUUGGCUCUCGCAUCGAUGAAGAACGCAGCGAAUUGCGAUAAGUAAUGUGAAUUGCAGAAUUCAGUGAAUCAUCGAAUCUUUGAACGCACCUUGCACCCUUUGGUAUUCCGAAGGGUAUGCCCGUUUGAGUGUCAUUGUAAUCUCACACUUAAGUUUUUUCUUAAGAGGUGGACUUGGAGGUUGCUGCUUUCAUUAGUGGCUCCUCUUAAAAGCAUUAGUGAUGUGAGUCUCGCAUUGCAAACCAGUGUAAUAAGAUUUCGCUGGGUUGAAACGCUUGAUGAAUCGCUUCUAAUCGUCCAUUUACUUGGACUGUCGCUUGCGGCAAUUGACAACUUGACCUCAAAUCGGGUAGGACUACCCGCUGAACUUAAGCAUAUCAAUAAGCGGAGGAAAAGAAACUAACAAGGAUUCCCCUAGUAACGGCGAGUGAAGAGGGAAAAGCUCAAAUUUUGAAUCUGGUACUUUUAGUAUCCGAGUUGUAAUCUAUAGACGUGUUUUCCACGGCGGACCUUGCACAAGUCUCUUGGAACAGAGCUUCAUAGAGGGUGAGAAUCCCGUACAUGGCAAGGACUCCCGUCGUUUUGUGAUACAUGCUCAACGAGUCGAGUUGUUUGGGAAUGCAGCUCAAAGUGGGUGGUAAAUUCCAUCUAAAGCUAAAUAUUGGCGAGAGACCGAUAGCGAACAAGUACCGUGAGGGAAAGAUGAAAAGCACUUUGGAAAGAGAGUGAAACAGUACGUGAAAUUGUUGAAAGGGAAACGCUUGAAGU
rnacentral:rRNA from 1 species